GCCCCAGUGGCGCGAUCGGUUAGCGCGCGGUACUACUUAUGCCGAGGUUGUGAGUUUUAUCCUCACCUGGGACA